rnacentral:lncRNA from 1 species
UAGUGGUCCAUCGCUGUUGGGCUAUAUUAGUUCGCUGAUUGGAAUUAGAACUGUGUACAUAAUUGUGUUUUUGGUGGCAAUGCUGAUGUUCAUCCAACAUAUUAGCAAAGAGGAACCUCUAAGGGUUGGUACUCGGGACCAAGCUGAACCUGCGACAAGCUCCAAAGCUGAAAGCUCAGAGUAUAGACCUGAAGAUAAGCAGGACUAGAUACGGUAAUGUACUCGGGGAUACCGUAUGAUGAAUCAAAAGACGGCGGUUAUACAGUAGGAAAGCAACCACAGACUUCUAAGUUAUUCUGAAUUUCCUAGCUUUGAUAGAGAAUGAGCUCUUCCAUGAAUUCUGAUGUGCUUAAAUAAGACCUAUUUUGAGUACUCAUG